UCAGCCAGGAAAGGGUCACGGCAGGCAGAGAGUCCGGGGAGACCCAGCCUUCAGCCCCGGCACCUUUUGGUUUGGGAACCGUUCGCUUUCCGAUCUCAGCCAGGUUUCGAGGCAAAGAGAUAACUUAAAAGGUUCGGAAUCUGCAGCUUAUCAGGAACAGGGACCGGAUCCUGUCCUUUACAGCAGUGUUAGGCUGAAGAGCAGCGACUGGCGCAAGGUCACCCAAGGUCAGCCUAGGUCCUAGGCUGACACUCUAACCACUACACCACACCACCGACCUAGGAUAAGCCUAAUUGCUUUAGGAAUCCAGGGAUUUACCAAGUCAGAUCAUCACUGGUCCACCUUGCCCUAUAUAACCUGCACUGAGGCUCUCCGGGGUUUUCAGAUAUUCACAUUCCGUACCUGGAGAUGCCAGGAGCUGAACCUGAAAUCCGUGGCAUGUGAGACAGAUGCUCUGCCAUUGGACUGCAACCCUUCCCCCUAUAGGCCUUUUAUUUCCAGCGAGGCGGAAUAAGCUCUGUCAGAUGUCGCAUCAAGUCUGCCAGCUGGGCUGGGUUGCCAAAACAGACACUUGAAGAAGGAAAUAAUAUUUCUGAAGCACCUGGUAGCAGCCAAGGAAAUCCAACGUAUGGUGCUGACCUUGAAAGCCCUAAACGGCCUCGGCCCAGUAGACCUGAAGGAGCGUCUCCACCCCCAUCAUUCAGCCCAGACACUGAGGUCCAGCUCUGAGGACCUUCUGGCAGUUCCCUCCCUGCAAGAACUGAAGUUACAGGGAACCAGACAGAGGGCCUUCUCGGUGGUGGCACCCGCCCUGUGGAACGCCCUCCCAUGAGACGUCAAGGAAAUACAGUGGUACCUCAGGUUACAGACGCUUCAGGUUACAGACGCUUCAGGUUACAGACUCCGCUAACCCAGAAAUAGUACCUCGGGUCAAGAACUUUGCUUCGGGAUGAGAACAGAAAUCGUGCUCUGGCGGCCCAGUGGCAGCUGGAGCCCCAUUAGCUAAAGUGGUGCUUCAGGUUAAGAACAGUUUCAGGUUAAGAACGGACCUCCGGAACGAGUUAAGUUCUUAACCCGAGGUACCACUAUAAACAACUAUCUGACUUUUAGAAGACAUCUGAAGGCAACCCUGUUUAGGGAAGUUUUUAAUGUUUGAUGUUUUAUUAUGCUUUUAAUUCUGUUGGGAGCCACCCAGAGUGCCUGGGGAAACCCAGCCAGAUUGGUGUGGUUUAAAUAAAUUAUUAUUAUUAUUAUUA